UACGGAGGGUGCAAGCGUUGUUCGGAAUCAUUGGGCGUAAAGCGCGCGUAGGCGGGUUCGCAAGUCGAUUGUGAAAUCCCUGGGCUUAACCCGGGAACUGCAGUCGAUACUACGAAUCUUGAAUGCUUAAGAGGGUGGUGGAAUUCCAGGUGUAGUAGUGAAAUACGUAGAUAUCUGGAGGAACACCGGAGGCGAAGGCGGCCACCUGGUAAGACAUUGACGCUGAAGUGCGAAAGUGCGGGGAUCAAACAGG
rnacentral:rRNA from 1 species